rnacentral:rRNA from 1 species
UACAGAGGGUGCGAGCGUUGUUCGGAAUUACUGGGCGUAAAGCGCGCGUAGGCGGCUUUGUAAGUUAGAGGUGAAAGCCCGGAGCUCAACUCCGGAACUGCCUUUAAAAACUGCAUCGCUUGAAUCCAGGAGAGGUGAGUGGAAUUCCGAGUGUAGAGGUGAAAUUCGUAGAUAUUCGGAAGAACACCAGUGGCGAAGGCGGCUCACUGGACUGGUAUUGACGCGUGAGG